AACACUGUUAACCUGCGGUACCUGCGGAGGGAUCAUUAACAAGCCUGUGGAGAUUAUAUUCCCAAAAGGAUGUAAUCUCGCGCCCGGCCACCCUUGUUCAUCUGACCCCUGUUGCUUUGGUGGGCCCGCCAGAAAGGCCGCUGGGGAACCUAGUUUCCGGGCGAGUGCUCACCAAAGUCCCAUUGAACUCUUUUUGAAGUUAUGCUGUCUGAGCACGCGAGAAUAAAUAUAUUAAAACUU
rnacentral:misc_RNA from 1 species